rnacentral:rRNA from 1 species
GACGAACGCUGGCGGCGUGCUUAACACAUGCAAGUCGAACGUGAUUUUUGUGGAAAUUCUUUCGGGAAUGGAAAUGAAAUGAAAGUGGCGAACGGGUGAGUAACACGUGAGCAACCUACCUUACACAGGGGGAUAGCCGUUGGAAACGACGAUUAAUACCGCAUGAGACCGCAGAAUCGCAUGAUAUAGGGGUCAAAGAUUUAUCGGUGUAAGAAGGGCUCGCGUCUGAUUAGCUAGUUGGAAGGGUAAAGGCCUACCAAGGCGACGAUCAGUAGCCGGUCUGAGAGGAUGAACGGCCACAUUGGAACUGAGACACGGUCCAAACUCCUACGGGAGGCAGCAGUGGGGAAUAUUGCACAAUGGGGGGAACCCUGAUGCAGCGACGCCGCGUGAGCGAAGAAGGUUUUCGAAUCGUAAAGCUCUGUCCUAUGAGAAGAUAAUGACGGUAUCAUAGGAGGAAGCCCCGGCUAAAUACGUGCCAGCAGCCGCGGUAAUACGUAUGGGGCGAGCGUUGUCCGGAAUUAUUGGGCGUACAGGGUACGUAGGCGGUUUUUUAAGUCAGGUGUGAAAGCGUGAGGCUUAACCUCAUUAAGCACUUGAAACUGGAAGACUUGAGUGAAGGAGAGGAAAGUGGAAUUCCUAGUGUAGCGGUGAAAUGCGUACAUAUUAGGAGGAAUACCGGUGGCGAAGGCGACUUUCUGGACUUUUACUGACGCUCAGGUACGAAAGCGUGGGGAGCAAACGUGG